rnacentral:rRNA from 1 species
AUAGGGCCAGAGGAGGGAACCGGGGGAAUUGAAACAUCUAAGUACCCCGAGGAGAGGAAAGCAACAGCGACUCCCUGAGUAGCGGCGAGCGAAAAGGGAAGAGCCUAAACCGGACCAGUGCCAAGCCUGGUGGCCUUGCUGGUCCGGGGUCGUGGGAAGUCGGGUGGGGGGGCACCAGACCCUUCGCAGAGUUACAAAGCAGCGGUCUAGUGGAAGUGUUCUGGAACGGCACGCCAUAGCGGGUAAGAGCCCCGUACGCGAAAGACACGCAGACUCCGUCCGAUUCUCCCGAGUAGCGCCGGAUCCGGGAAAGCCGGCGUGAAUCUACGAGGACCACCUCGAAAGGCUAAGUACUCACAGGCGACCGAUAGCGAACUAGUACCGUGAGGGAAAGGUGAAAAGCACCCCGGGAGGGGAGUGAAAUAGUACCUGAAACCGUUGGCUUACAAACAGUCAGAGCGUCGUCGAUGCCCUCGGGCAUCGGCCGUGAUGGCGUGCCUUUUGAAGAAUGAGCCAGCGAGUUACCGUGCGUGGCGAGGUUAACCCGUAUGGGGGAGCCGGAGCGAAAGCGAGUCUGAACAGGGCGUUUAGUCGCGUGCGGUAGACCCGAAGCCGAGUGAUCUAGCCAUGGGCAGGCUGAAGCGGGGGUAAGACCCCGUGGAGGGCCGAACCCACCUCAGUUGAAAAUGAGGGGGAUGACCUGUGGUUAGGGGUGAAAGGCCAAUCAAACUCGGUGAUAGCUGGUUCUCCCCGAAAUGCAUUUAGGUGCAGCGUCAGUCGUUCAGCAUCGGAGGUAGAGCACUGAAUGGGCUAGGGGGCCUACAAGCUUACUGACCCCAAUCAAACUCCGAAUGCCGAUGCUCCAGAGACUGGCAGUGAGACCACGAGGGAUGAGCUUCGUUGGUCGAGAGGGAAACAGCCCAGAUCUUCAGCUAAGGCCCCUAAAUUCUGGACUAAGUGGAAAACGAUGUGAGAACGCUCAGACAGCCAGAAGGUUGGCUUAGAAGCAGCCAUCCUUUAAAGAGUGCGUAAUAGCUCACUGGUCGAGUGGUCUUGCGCGGAAAAUGUAACGGGGCUCAAGUCCAGAGCCGAAGCUAAGAAUUGCGUCCAUACGGACGUAGUGGUAGGGGAGCGUCGAACCUGCUGUGAAGCGGAGGUGUGAACCUCCGUGGAGCGCGUUCGAGUGAGAAUGCUGGUAUGAGUAGCGAGAGAGGGGUGAGAAACCCCUCCGCCGUAAGCCCAAGGGUUCCUGGGGAAGGCUAAUCCCCCCAGGGUCAGUCGGGAGCUAAGGCGAGGCCGAGAGGCGUAGUCGAUGCACAACAGGUUGAUAUUCCUGUACCACCGUGUCCGCGCCCAUUCCAAUGUGGGGGUACUAAGGGGCUGACCUUCGGGUCGAUCCGACCAACCCUGCGGCGGGAAGCGAAGGAGGGACGGAGGAGGAUAGGUGAGCCCAGGCGUUGGUUGUCCUGGGGUAAGUGUGUAGGGCGGGGUCCAGGCAAAUCCGGAUCCCACGUAGCCUGAGACACGAUGCCGAGCCAUUAGGCGGAAGUCACUGAUUCCAUGCUCCCAAGAAAAUCUUCUAGCGAGUUGACACGGUGCCCGUACCCCAAACCGACACAGGUGGGCGGGUAGAGAAUACCAAGGCGAUCGGGAGAACUGUAGUUAAGGAACUCGGCAAAAUGCAUCCGUAACUUCGGGAGAAGGAUGGCCUUACUAGCGUGAAGGACUUCGCGUCCGGAGCGUGAGAAGGUCGCAGAGAAUUGUGGGAAGCGACUGUUUACCAAAAACACAGGAGCGUGCUAAGUCGUAAGACGCCGUAUACGCUCUGACGCCUGCCCGGUGCUGGAAGGUUACGGGGACCGGUUAGCUCUUAGGAGCGAAGCUGGGAACCUAAGCCCCAGUAAACGGCGGCCGUAACUAUAACGGUCCUAAGGUAGCGAAAUUCCUUGUCGGGUAAGUUCCGACCUGCACGAAUGGCGUAACGACUUCCCAACUGUCUCAACUACAGACCCGGCGAAAUUGAAGUACGAGUAAAGAUGCUCGUUAGCUGCAUCAGGACGGAAAGACCCCGUGCACCUUUACUACAACUUGAUGUUGGGUUUUGGUUCAGUUUGUGUAGGAUAGGUGGGAGGCUUUGAAGCGUCGGCGCUAGCCGAUGUGGAGCCAACGUUGAAAUACCACCCUUUCUGCACCGGAGCCCUAACCUUGAUCCGUGAUCCGGAUUAGGAACAGCGUCAGGCGGGUAGUUUGACUGGGGCGGUCGCCUCCUAAAAUGUAACGGAGGCGCCCAAAGGUUCCCUCAAGCUGGUUGGCAAUCAGCUGUUGAGUGCAAUGACACAAGGGAGCUUGACUGCGAGACUUACAGGUCGAGCAGGUACGAAAGUAGGGCAUAGUGAUCCGGCGGUCGCUUGUGGAAGCGCCGUCGCUCAACGGAUAAAAGGUACGCCGGGGAUAACAGGCUUAUCUUCCCCAAGAGUCCAUAUCGACGGGAAGGUUUGGCACCUCGAUGU